rnacentral:sRNA from 1 species
AAUUGGUUAAAGAUGCUAACUGCUGAACAGAAGAAGGUAUAUGAUGGAAUAAUGGAUGUUGUCCUUAAUGACAAAUGAGGUGU